CUACACAUGCAGUCGUACAAGGUAGCCGAGAGCUUGCUCUUGGGUGACGAGUGGCGGACGGGUGAGUAAUGUCUGGGAACUGCCCGAUGGAGGGGGAUAACUACUGGAAACGGUAGCUAAUACCGCAUAACGUCGCAAGACCAAAGAGGGGGACCUUCGGGCCUCUUGCCAUCGGAUGUGCCCAGAUGGGAUUAGCUAGUAGGUGGGGUAACGGCUCACCUAGGCGACGAUCCCUAGCUGGUCUGAGAGGAUGACCAGCCACACUGGAACUGAGACACGGUCCAGACUCCUACGGGAGGCAGCAGUGGGGAAUAUUGCACAAUGGGCGCAAGCCUGAUGCAGCCAUGCCGCGUGUAUGAGAGGCUUCGGUUGUAAAGUACUUUCAGCGAGGAGGAGUGUUGUGGUUAUACCGCAGCAUUGACGUACUCGCAGAGAGCACCGGCUACUCCGUGCAGCAGCCGCGUAUACGGAGGUGCAGCGUAAUCGAAUACUGGCGUAAGCGCACGCAGCGUCUGUCAGUCGAUGUGAAUCCCGGCUCACCUGGACUGCAUCGAACUGCAGC
rnacentral:rRNA from 1 species